rnacentral:sRNA from 1 species
UCCGUAUAGUGCCAUCGACCACACGGGUA